rnacentral:rRNA from 1 species
GGACGAACGCUGGCGGCGUGCUUAGCACAUGCAAGUCGAACGGAAAGGCCCUGCUUUUGUGGGGUGCUCGAGUGGCGAACGGGUGAGUAACACGUGAGUAACCUGCCCUUGACUUUGGGAUAACUUCAGGAAACUGGGGCUAAUACCGGAUAGGAGCUCCUGCUGCAUGGUGGGGGUUGGAAAGUUUCGGCGGUUGGGGAUGGACUCGCGGCUUAUCAGCUUGUUGGUGGGGUAGUGGCUUACCAAGGCUUUGACGGGUAGCCGGCCUGAGAGGGUGACCGGCCACAUUGGGACUGAGAUACGGCCCAGACUCCUACGGGAGGCAGCAGUGGGGAAUAUUGCACAAUGGGCGGAAGCCUGAUGCAGCAACGCCGCGUGCGGGAUGACGGCCUUCGGGUUGUAAACCGCUUUCGCCUGUGACGAAGCGUGAGUGACGGUAAUGGGUAAAGAAGCACCGGCUAACUACGUG